GUGAGGAAUAUUGGUCAAUGGACGCAAGUCUGAACCAGCUAUGCCGCGUGCAGGAAGAAGGUUCUAUGGAUCGUAAACUGCUUUUGUACAGGAAGAAAUUAUCCCUCGUGAGGGAGCUUGACGGUACUGUAAGAAUAAGGAUCGGCUAACUCCGUGCCAGCAGCCGCGGUAAUACGGAGGAUCCAAGCGUUAUCCGGAAUCAUUGGGUUUAAAGGGUUCGUAGGCGGUUUUGUAAGUCAGUGGUGAAAGUUUGCAGCUUAACUGUAAAAUUGCCAUUGAUACUGCAAGACUUGAAUGUUUGUGAAGUAGCUAGAAUAUGUAGUGUAGCGGUGAAAUGCUUAGAUAUUACAUGGAAUACCGAUUGCGAAGGCAGGUUACUAACAAAUUAUUGACGCUGAUGGACGAAAGCGUGGGGAGCGAACAGGAUUAGAAACCCUUGUAGUCC
rnacentral:rRNA from 1 species